CUGGAAGGAAGCUAAGGGUUUGAAAGAGAUGGAGGUGAGGAGCGAGGGUGUUCCAGGUAUGGAGGGAGCCGUCUAUAGAAAGGCACAGAAAGAGGAACGAGGAGGCCAGUCUGGCCCGUCACAUUGCCUUCUGGGAUCCUCGCUUUAAGAAGGCCGUUGGCCAUUCAUUGGCCAGCUGAAGCUGUCCUGAGGGGAGCACCAGGAGGGCGGAGGAACCAAGGCUGGUGAGCCUGGAGCAGGGAGGGGAAGUGACAGAGGAUAGCAGCUUGUGCCACCUGGAGGCAGAACGGGUGGGACUGGCCUCAGGAAGACGUACCUUCCUUGUUACUAGAGGUGAGACUGAAAGGCUUUCUGCUUAGGUGUGGGUUGGAGGGAAUGUGGCACAUGGGCAAGAUGGGAGAUGGAGCCAAGCAAGGUGGGGAGAGUGCUUUUCUAGCUGUCCGUUGUCCCCACCUCCCACACACAUUCAGGCUUCCCCAGAGAUACCUGGAAAGAGCUUGGGGGAGCCCAGCAGUUUCUCAGCCUCUCCCUCUGGCCUCUGGCCAUCCAGGACUAGGAUAGGGCUGGGACGCUCUCAGUGGCCCUGUGGGCAUAGGCUCGUGGAAUGUGGGGCUGGAAGGGCCUCAGAGAGAGGAGGGAACUUGACCAAUGUACCACAUGUAAUAAGUAGCAGAACCACGAUGAAGAUAGGUCCCCUUGCUCCAAACUGAGUGCUCUGUCUGCUGCACGUGUCUGCCUGAGAGAGGGAGCCAGCCAACAGUCUCCACCUUUGGGCAGCACAUGGGCCUCGUCGUAUCAUGACCGCUCAGUGGCCAUGUGCCCAAGUGUGAGUGUGAGAUGUUCCCCCAAGAGUGUCAGACUAGUGGAUUGGGCUUUUUGGGGACUAUGAGGCCAAGAUCAUCGGAAUCAGACCAGGCUAGGUUUGGGGUCGAGUCUUCAGAAUGGAAGGGGGCACCAGACCCACCCACCCCCGAAGCCAUGAUCUCCUUGCUAACAUCCCCACAGGGGAUGCCAAUGUCUGCCCUCCAGUGACAGGGAACUCCAUAAGGCAGGUUCCACUUUGGGACAACUCUAAUUGUUAGGAAACGUUUCCUUCUGUGGAGUAAGUAGGCGGGGAAUGGCAGCAUCCAGAAGCCCUGAGUUCAAAUUCCAUUUCCUAGCUAUGGGACCCCGAGGACUCCCCCUCUGGAGCCUCAGUCACCUCCACUGUGAAAUGAGGAGGUUAGACUUGAUGGUCUCAAAGGCCCUUCCAGCUGGAAAUCUCUGCUCCUGUAAUGCCCCCUCACUGUCUCCUAGCCUGGCUUGGAGCUUGGGACCUUAACAAGCAGAGUAACCUCUCUACACCUCAGUUUUCUCAUUUAUCAUUUGAUGUUUUGACUGGCAGGACCCUUUAGGCCACUGCUAUCCCUGCUAGGCCCUGCUAACUCUGAGAGGCUGAGAAAGUGCCCUUCUCGCCCUCCCCAAACCUGCCCCCAUCUUUAUCUCCUCCCAUCAUCCCGCAGGCAUGUGCUGUGUGGCUCCUAAGCCUGCAGAGUUCUCUCAGAACAUGUCCCAGAGUCCCCCAAACCUGCUCUGCUUUGUGCAGACAAGUCUGGCUGCUGGCUGGUCCCCACUACUGCUUGGGCUUAAGCAGGCCCAUAGCCAUUCCCCAAGCUGGGGUGUUUGGGCUCCUGGGUGCUCAAAGACAACAGAGACUUAGACCCCAGACCUCCAGCCCAGGCUACCACAGUGGCCUGGCCAGCCCCCGAGGACAUGGGAGCCCACACUUUGGGAGUAAAGGGGCUUCAGUAGAGGUAGCUGCCCAGCCCCUGAGGCCCCCAAUGCCUGAUGGCCCAGAAAGGCCGUAGAGGAGCUGCAGUUGACUGUCUCACAGCCUGGGGGCCCUCGGCCCAGGAUCAAUUGGGAACUUCCAAUGAACACCAUGGCCAGAGGAAAUGGGCAGCUAAAAGAGCCAGGAUCCCAGCCUGCCCCACCAUGGGACCACAGUCCCCAUGUUUUUCUUUUCCCAAACACCCCCAAACAAUCUAUUUUUGUAAGCUACUUCCUUAUCACUUUUAGAAAUGAAUGUUCAAACAAGAAAAGUUUGUUGCACAGAGAAUGGGUAGAGAGAAUUAGCUAGGUUUCCAGUUCCUCCUCCCUCCCCCGUGGAUGGUUUGACUGAAAUGGGCACCCUACAGACCCCAGAGUGUACCUGAAUCAAAGGCAAUGAUGGAGCUGUCUGUCAGGGACCUUAGAGCAUAGAACAUAAGACUGCCAGAGAUGGGAGGAACCUUAGAAUGUAGAAUAUAAAGGAUGUAAUGGAGCUUAGGAUAUAGAAUGUCAACACUGGAAGUGACUUUAGAACACAGAAUGUCAAAGGUCCCAUAGGACAUGGAGUGUCAAAGCUGGGAAGGACUUUAGAACAUAGAAUUUCUGAGGGGGAAGGAACCUUAGAACAAAUAAUGUCAAAGCCAGGAGGGGCCUUCGAACCCAGAAAGUCAGAACUGUGAGAACAAGGCCUCCAGAAAUGGGACUGAGGGUCUGGGCCUAAAGCACCAGGAGGAAGAUGAAGAGUCUCUGUCUGCUGUCUCUGCUUGGUCAGGACCCUUCCUCUGCUCCCCCAGUGUCUAGCUAUCAUCCAGACCUCCGGGUACCAGGGCUUGGGCCCAGCCUUCCUUCUGAGCAGCUUGUCAGAGUCCCAGGCUCCCUCCUGCAUUUAGCAGUCUAGCAGAAGCUAGGGCUCAUCCAUUCUCUGAGGCCAGAUGCUAACAGAUGACUGCUUUGUAGGCCAGCCUCCCACGCCCCCAGGAGCUGAGCCUACCUGCACUGUCCAAGCCAGGAGACUGAUGCUGCCAGGACAGAGAGGGCAAAAUGGAAGUGUGGCAGUGUCUUGGCCUGCAGAGAAAGGCUUUGGGCAUAGGUGGAUAUGGGCAGCACCAUGGAAAGUUAACCACAGGAAAGCUUGGCUUCCCAGUCCCCUGCACUGCUAGUCAGCAGCUCCGUGACCUUGGGGAAUUGAACCAUCCACAUCUCCUGCCUGUGGACUUUGGCCAAGACCCUUCACCUCCCUGUGGCACAUUUUCUUCAUCUAUAAAAUGAGGGUGUGGAACUAGAUGAUGUCUCUAAAUCCCAUGAUCCUUUGCAAAGCCACCUGAUCCAUUCAAAUUACUUGGGAUCUACUGUCUAAAAGGCAGAAAAAAACAACCAAUCCAGCUGUUUUUUCACUGGGCCAUCUCCAUCUCCUAGAAUCUUACCGAUCCUUCAAGCCGUGUUGUCCAAGAAACUGUCCCCUUCACCCUCGCAACCAACCAGCUAGAAGUGAUCUCAUAGCACUUGAUUCUCAUCUAUGUACACAGCAUAUUCUAACUUGUCUUAGUUAUCUGUGUUUUGUCUUACCCUUUCCAACUAGAAUGUGAGCUCCUUGAAGGCAGGGCACCCACAGCACCCAGCACAAAGGUUUUCACUUAAAAGGUGCUAUAAAGGUGAGUGGGAGAAAGGAGACAAGUCUGACUAGGAGUGAGAGAAUGUGAGAACAUGAAAGGGUCAGGGUUGUUCUGCUGAGAGCAGCCAAGGUUCGUUUCUGAACAGUAACUUGGUAUAGAGUGGCAAGAGGGAGAGGGUAGAGUUGAGCAUUGGCCUCAGAGCAGUCUAAAGGACUUUAGAAGUCACCUAGUCCUUUCACCCUUUCAUGUUACAGUUAAGAAAACUGAGCAGAGCCCAGGGGCACUGUGGGAGUGAGGGACCUAUGUUCCCAUUUGCCUGGCACUUUCACAGCUUCCUGCUAAUCUUAUCCUUAUCAGGUGCACACUGGGAAGCCCUCUGAGCUCCAUUUUUACAGAGGAGGGCUCGGGUCCAGAGUGGAAAGUGCCACAGUAGCCCAAGUUGGCGACAAAGACAGUGGCAGGAAUGUAGGGUCCCGGCGCCCUGUUCAGGGGUUCUUUCUGGGCUCCACUGAAUGCAUCUGAUCUUCCCUCCCCCCCCCACACGAUCACAUCUCUGGAUGAAUUGGGCCAUGGCCAUGGCCUGGAGCUGGCAAGUGGUAAAGAUCCCCUUGUGACCUGUGGGAGGGUGGCUCCAAAGGCUGUCAGAGCUUUGGAGAGGGAAGUAAGCUUAGCAGCAGUUGGUGAGAAGACAUCCUUCAACCCCCGCCCCCAUUUCCACUCCGCCAGGCCCUCCACCACCUCCUAUCAAAACCAGUCUUUCCUUUCCUGAAAAAAAAAAUGCCCUUUCCUUCCGUGGAGACUUUCCAAGCUGGCUUGGCCUACAGGUAGGAAAGAGUGGUGGUACUGUCCCCCUGCAGUUCUAUGGAAGCCCUCACUUCUCCCGAAUUCCCCCUGCUCUCUCUAUGCACCGAGACUGAGAGGACACGCACCUCUCGCCCCUACCAGCCAGACCUGGGCACCGGCACAUGGGUGCCUCCUGCCUCGAAGGUUCCACUUUCUGAGAGUGGUGAGUCCAGGCUGGCCUUGGUUUCAGUCGGGGUGGCUGCCUGUCCAGAGAGAACCCUGUGGGCUUCAGACUUGUGAAUUUGCACACGCUUCAAGCGAUUUGAUGAUUGAUCCACAUUAUUCUCAAGCUAAUGUUUAAAAAGCCAUCCCUCAUCAGGUGGUAUCGAAGUCUUUUGCAUUUAGUCAAUAGAUGUUGCUGCCUGUAUCUACCCACUGUCCGCGGUUUGCUAAGUGUGAGCAAGUGUGUCUUACCCAGUGUUGUGGGUUCUGCUUGCCUUGAUGUGGACCCCAGAAGGUACCAGUUGAAUGGUUGCUAAGCAAGCUCCCCUCAGUGAGAGGGAAGAGAGCAGCUUUUCAAGACCUGUGUGUGAACUCCAUUUGUGAGCAACAUAUAUCCAACCUAAUCUCCCAAACUGCUGACACUUUAUGCAUGUGAUAAUAAAAAGACCAAUAAAGAUUGGCUUUGUGUGGGCCUCUGCCAA